rnacentral:rRNA from 1 species
UGAGGAAUAUUGGUCAAUGGGCGAGAGCCUGAACCAGCCAAGUAGCGUGCAGGAUGACGGCCCUAUGGGUUGUAAACUGCUUUUAUGUGGGGAUAAAGUGAGCUACGUGUAGUUUAUUGCAGGUACCACAUGAAUAAGGACCGGCUAAUUCCGUGCCAGCAGCCGCGGUAAUACGGAAGGUCCAGGCGUUAUCCGGAUUUAUUGGGUUUAAAGGGAGCGUAGGCCGUGGAUUAAGCGUGUUGUGAAAUGUAGACGCUCAACGUCUGAAUUGCAGCGCGAACUGGUUCACUUGAGUAUGCACAACGUAGGCGGAAUUCGUCGUGUAGCGGUGAAAUGCUUAGAUAUGACGAAGAACUCCGAUUGCGAAGGCAGCUUACGGGAGCACAACUGACGCUGAAGCUCGAAGGUGCGGGUAUCAAACAGGAUUAGAUACCCUGGUAGUCCGCACAGUAAACGAUGGAUGCCCGUUGUUAGUUCACUUAAGAAUUAGCGACCAAGCGAAAGCAUUAAGCAUCCCACCUGGGGAGUACGCCGGCACGGU